rnacentral:rRNA from 1 species
UUCAGUGAAUCAUCGAAUCUUUGAACGCACCUUGCACCUUUUGGUAUUCCAAAAGGUACACCUGUUUGAGUGUCAUGA